rnacentral:rRNA from 1 species
AUACGUAGGGGGCGAGCGUUGUCCGGAAUGAUUGGGCGUAAAGGGCGCGUAGGCGGCCCGGUAAGUCUGGAGUGAAAGCCCUGUUUUUAAGAUGGGAAUUGCUUUGGAUACUGUCGGGCUUGAGUGCAGGAGAGGGAAGUGGAAUUCCCAGUGUAGCGGUGAAAUGCGUAGAGAUUGGGAGGAACACCAGUGGCGAAGGCGACUUACUGGACUGUAACUGACGCUGAGGCGCGAAAGUGUGGGGAGCAAACAGGAUUAGAUACCCUGGUAGUCCACACUGUAAACGAUGAAUGCUAGGUGUAGGGGGUAUCGACCCCUUCUGUGCCGCAGUCAACACAAUAAGCAUUCCGCCUGGGGAGUACGGCCGCAAGGUUGAAACUCAAAUGAAUUGACGGGG